CUGACCUCGGCCCAAGGGUAUCGCUGUGCUCUGGUUUGUAUUAGCUUCAGCACCGCUGCAAUCUCACUGAAGCUUACUUUGUGCUCACCAUCAUCCUUUGGCCUUUCUUCUCUAACACAGUUCCUGUAUCCAGCCUCAUGCUUUGCUGUGCCUGUAACUGUCUUCUCCCCACAGAUAACCUGUCAUUGAAGUACAUGAAGAAAAUAGUCAAAUAUGUGCCCAUGGGUUUUCCUGAGUACUUCCUACAGGGUAUGCAGUCCACUCUGAAGAUCACAGCCUAGGACCAUAAGUAUGCAGUGAAUAUCUUAAAGACAAUAAAGCUCUAUCCACAGAAUUCUGAGGAUGGAGCUGAUGCUGGAAAAUCAGUAUUCUCUUAGGCAAUGUUACAUCAUCUCCUUAUAACUAUGCUACAUGCUCUCAGUAUUAUUUAUAUCAUCUUUCCUUCCCUUCCACCCAACAGUCUCAUUUCAAGAGAUUUAACCUAAAAAGAUACAAGAACAGGUGCACAUAUAUAUAUGGACAAGGUUAUGCAUCACAGCAAUUUUUAAAACAGCAACAAAAAUAAUAGCAAUAUGGUUAAAUGUGUCAAUCAUGUAUUGGCCUAUAAAAGUAUGCUAUUUCAUUAGUCUAUAGACUAAUUGGGCUACAGACUAACCAUUAAAUGCUUUCCUU
rnacentral:lncRNA from 10 species